GGAUUGUAGCUCAGUGGUAGAGUGCUUGCCUAGCACAUUCGAGGUCCUGGGUUCGAUCCUCAGCACCA
rnacentral:tRNA from 1 species